rnacentral:rRNA from 13 species
AACGGGUUAAUAUUCCCGUACCUGCUCACGCUAAAAGUGACGGAUUCGAAAAGUUGGUGCGCACAGACGGAAUUGUGCGUUGAAGGGAGGGGUAACCCCCCGAUAGUACACUAAGGCUACGGCUGCGGUGAUAAUCCAGCAAAUCGAGUUCCAAGAAAAGCAAGUGAAGCAGCCUGUACCGUAAACCGACACAGGUGGUUGGGAUGAGAAUUCUAAGGUGCUCGAGAGAUUCAUGGCUAAGGAACUAGGCAAAAUCGACCCGUAACUUCGGGAGAAGGGUCGCCCAUCUUUUGAUGGGCCGCAGUGAAGAGGUCCAGGCGACUGUUUAUCAAAAACACAGGGCUCUGCUAAAUGGAAACAUGAAGUAUAGGGCCUGACACCUGCCCGGUGCCGGAAGGUUAAGAGGAGGGUUUAGCUUCGGCGAAGAUCUGAAUUGAAGCCCCGGUAAACGGCGGCCGU